UAUGGUCAAGUGAAGAAGCGCAUACGGUGGAUGCCUUGGCAGUCAGAGGCGAUGAAAGACGUGGUAGCCUGCGAAAAGCUUCGGGGAGUCGGCAAACAGACUUUGAUCCGGAGAUGUCUGAAUGGGGGAACCCAGCCAUCACAAGAUGGUUAUCUUGUACUGAAUACAUAGGUGCAAGAGGCGAACCAGGGGAACUGAAACAUCUAAGUACCCUGAGGAAAAGAAAUCAACCGAGAUUCCCUUAGUAGUGGCGAGCGAACGGGGACUAGCCCUUAAGUGGCUUUGAGAUUAGCGGAACGCUCUGGAAAGUGCGGCCAUAGUGGGUGAUAGCCCUGUACGCGAAAAUCUCUUAGUCAUGAAAUCGAGUAGGACGGAGCACGAGAAACUUUGUCUGAAUAUGGGGGGACCAUCCUCCAAGGCUAAAUACUACUGACUGACCGAUAGUGAACUAGUACCGUGAGGGAAAGGCGAAAAGAACCCCGGAGAGGGGAGUGAAAUAGAUCCUGAAACCGUAUGCGUACAAGCAGUGGGAGCCCACUUUGUUGGGUGACUGCGUACCUUUUGUAUAAUGGGUCAGCGACUUAUUUUCAGUGGCGAGCUUAACCGAAUAGGGGAGGCGUAGCGAAAGCGAGUCUUAAUAGGGCGUCUAGUCGCUGGGAAUAGACCCGAAACCGGGCGAUCUAUCCAUGGGCAGGUUGAAGGUUAGGUAACACUGACUGGAGGACCGAACCGACUACCGUUGAAAAGUUAGCGGAUGACCUGUGGAUCGGAGUGAAAGGCUAAUCAAGCUCGGAGAUAGCUGGUUCUCCUCGAAAGCUAUUUAGGUAGCGCCUCAUGUAUCACUGUAGGGGGUAGAGCACUGUUUCGGCUAGGGGGUCAUCCCGACUUACCAAACCGAUGCAAACUCCGAAUACCUACAAGUGCCGAGCAUGGGAGACACACGGCGGGUGCUAACGUCCGUCGUGAAAAGGGAAACAACCCAGACCGUCAGCUAAGGUCCCAAAGUUAUGGUUAAGUGGGAAACGAUGUGGGAAGGCUUAGACAGCUAGGAGGUUGGCUUAGAAGCAGCCACCCUUUAAAGAAAGCGUAAUAGCUCACUAGUCGAGUCGGCCUGCGCGGAAGAUGUAACGGGGCUCAAACCAUACACCGAAGCUACGGGUAUCAUCUUAGGAUGAUGCGGUAGAGGAGCGUUCUGUAAGCCUGUGAAGGUGAGUUGAGAAGCUUGCUGGAGGUAUCAGAAGUGCGAAUGCUGACAUGAGUAACGACAAUGGGUGUGAAAAACACCCACGCCGAAAGACCAAGGUUUCCUGCGCAACGUUAAUCGACGCAGGGUUAGUCGGUCCCUAAGGCGAGGCUGAAAAGCGUAGUCGAUGGAAAACAGGUUAAUAUUCCUGUACUUCUGGUUAUUGCGAUGGAGGGACGGAGAAGGCUAGGCCAGCUUGGCGUUGGUUGUCCAAGUUUAAGGUGGUAGGCUGAGAUCUUAGGUAAAUCCGGGAUCUUAAGGCCGAGAGCUGAUGACGAGUUACCCUUUGGGUGACGAAGUGGUUGAUGCCAUGCUUCCAAGAAAAGCUUCUAAGCUUCAGGUAACCAGGAACCGUACCCCAAACCGACACAGGUGGUUGGGUAGAGAAUACCAAGGCGCUUGAGAGAACUCGGGUGAAGGAACUAGGCAAAAUGGCACCGUAACUUCGGGAGAAGGUGCGCCGGUGAGGGUGAAGGACUUGCUCCGUAAGCUCAUGCCGGUCGAAGAUACCAGGCCGCUGCGACUGUUUAUUAAAAACACAGCACUCUGCAAACACGAAAGUGGACGUAUAGGGUGUGACGCCUGCCCGGUGCCGGAAGGUUAAUUGAUGGGGUUAGCUAACGCGAAGCUCUUGAUCGAAGCCCCGGUAAACGGCGGCCGUAACUAUAACGGUCCUAAGGUAGCGAAAUUCCUUGUCGGGUAAGUUCCGACCUGCACGAAUGGCGUAACGAUGGCGGCGCUGUCUCCACCCGAGACUCAGUGAAAUUGAAAUCGCUGUGAAGAUGCAGUGUAUCCGCGGCUAGACGGAAAGACCCCGUGAACCUUUACUAUAGCUUUGCACUGGACUUUGAAUUUGCUUGUGUAGGAUAGGUGGGAGGCUUUGAAGCGUGGACGCCAGUUCGCGUGGAGCCAUCCUUGAAAUACCACCCUGGCAACUUUGAGGUUCUAACUCAGGUCCGUUAUCCGGAUCGAGGACAGUGUAUGGUGGGUAGUUUGACUGGGGCGGUCUCCUCCUAAAGAGUAACGGAGGAGUACGAAGGUGCGCUCAGACCGGUCGGAAAUCGGUCGUAGAGUAUAAAGGCAAAAGCGCGCUUGACUGCGAGACAGACACGUCGAGCAGGUACGAAAGUAGGUCUUAGUGAUCCGGUGGUUCUGUAUGGAAGGGCCAUCGCUCAACGGAUAAAAGGUACUCCGGGGAUAACAGGCUGAUACCGCCCAAGAGUUCAUAUCGACGGCGGUGUUUGGCACCUCGAUGUCGGCUCAUCACAUCCUGGGGCUGAAGCCGGUCCCAAGGGUAUGGCUGUUCGCCAUUUAAAGUGGUACGCGAGCUGGGUUUAGAACGUCGUGAGACAGUUCGGUCCCUAUCUGCCGUGGACGUUUGAGAUUUGAGAGGGGCUGCUCCUAGUACGAGAGGACCGGAGUGGACGAACCUCUGGUGUUCCGGUUGUCACGCCAGUGGCAUUGCCGGGUAGCUAUGUUCGGGAAAGAUAACCGCUGAAAGCAUCUAAGCGGGAAACUUGCCUCAAGAUGAGAUCUCACUGGAACCUUGAGUUCCCUGAAGGGCCGUCGAAGACUACGACGUUGAUAGGUUGGGUGUGUAAGCGCUGUGAGGCGUUGAGCUAACCAAUACUAAUUGCCCGUGAGGCUUGACCAUA
rnacentral:rRNA from 1 species